rnacentral:rRNA from 1 species
UACGUAGGGUGCGAGCGUUGUCCGGAAUUAUUGGGCGUAAAGGGCUCGUAGGCGGUUUGUCGCGUCGGGAGUGAAAACACCGGGCUUAACUCGGUGCUUGCUUUCGAUACGGGCAGACUAGAGUCAGGUAGGGGAGAACGGAAUUCCUGGUGUAGCGGUGAAAUGCGCAGAUAUCAGGAGGAACACCGGUGGCGAAGGCGGUUCUCUGGGCCUGUACUGACGCUGAGGAACGAAAGCGUGGGGAGCGAACAGG